rnacentral:lncRNA from 1 species
UACUAAUGCAUAUAAGGCACUUACUCUGCUAGCUUCUGAGGAUUUGAGGAUGAGUUAGAUAUUCGAGCCUUCCAAGAGUUUUCAAACUACUGAGAGAGACAGAUGCACCCAACAUAUACACACAAAACACCACACACACAUACACAUGCAGUCUCAAUAAUUAUGAAUAUGGGUACUUCUAUGUGCUUUAUGCUUUAUGUUUCAUAAACACCCUUUAAGAUAGAUAAUGUUAUCUUCCUUAUACAGAUCAGGGAUCGAGGCACCAAAACAUUAAGUAAUUUUCCAAAGGUCACACAGUUAGUAGCAAAGCCAGUUAACAAUGAGGCAACUUACUACAAUUAUAAGAGACUUCACAGUCCAUAAUGUACAUGAGUAAUUACUGGGGACAAAAGGUCAGAAUAUUUGAAAUCAUGUUUUUUCUAAAAAUGUUAGGAUGUAUUAUUAUAGUAAUUCUGCUAGAACCAAAUUAGCAUAAUUGCUAUAACACAAAUAUAGACAAAAUGUUAUAGAGGCAUGAAGAAAGGAGUUAAUAAUACUCUAAAAAAACAACAUAAUUUCUAAACACAGGAAAACAUUAAAAUGAAACAAAUAUCUAUGGACUCUCACUAUACUGAUAAGCCCAAUUAUUUUAGUAGAAAUAAAACAAAAAGAAAGUAAUAUAUGUGCAAGAUAGAAAUUCAAACAAUAUAGACAGGAAUUAUUUUAUUAAAAAAUAAGGCAUACCUCCACCAAGUUUUUUGUUCCAAAGUAAACAUUGUUAAGGGUUAAAAUGUCAAUAUGUAUAAUACCUUCCAUUAAAGUCAUGCAUACAUACAUUUACAUACCAAAUCUAUAUUUGAAUUAAAGAUACAAUAACAAUUUACUGCAUUUUUCUUAGAUUUUUCUAAUAGAAAUUGGAAAGCCACUUCACUUCAGAGUCAUUUAAUUAUUUUAAACACUACACAGUAUUUUUUUACAUGGAUAUAUCAUAUUAUGUGAAGGUAACGAGUCAUUUUUUCAAAUAAAGCUUAGUAUUAUAUGCAGCACUUCAAGAAUUAAACAGCGUUUGUCUAGGUAAAUCUUUGAUGGAUUCCUUCAAGUCUUUCAUGUUAGCCUCCUUAGGUUCCAGCAGAUGGCGCUAUAACAACACUCCAGGAAAACUGAACUGCCUAACAAGACACUGAGCUAUUUAAAGUCAGCAGAGGACGGUCUAUUUUCCAAAUAAAAAAAUCAAUUUCACAAUUGCCAUUCUUUCAUGAUAUAAGGGUGAUUAUUGCCAAAAUAUCAUAAAAUAUUGGGCGCUACAAUGGUUUAAGUGUUCUUUUAAAACCUUUGCAAAAGAAUUGUUACAAUAGGAAAUGGGUCAGAUGAAAUAUCUUGGCCUAUGUGGUGACAGAAGCAGUAUUUUUAAGGGCUUAUCACUAGUGACACAUCACUUCCAAUUACAAUAUCCAAAUUGUUCCUUACAAUGAUCCUAUGGGUUUAGAAGGUCAAAGGUAUCCUCUUUAAGCAGAUAGGAAAGCUGAUGCUUUGCAAAAACUCAGUCCAAAAACUAGGCUCAAAGGCUGGUCUUCUAACUUCAAAAUAUUGAGCUAUUCUCAAUCCACCCAUUCAUUUGCUGGAUCUAUUCUUGGUGGUGGUGGUGGUCUUGCUUACUUGUUUGUGAAUGAAAACUAUAGGUUGUAAUAUUUUUAAUAUUAGGUAAUGCAUCAGUAAGCAAUAAGUAUAACAAAUAUUUCCUCCCCAGUAGAGAGAACAAGAAAGAAAAGACCAAAUGAAGGAAAAUUAGAAAAGAGUACAGGGAAAAGGCAAUGAAGAUGGAGGAGGCAAGAGAUAUUCAAAGUCUGAGGAAUAAGAAAAGGAGAUGCAAUACAAUUGGACAGUUUUUCACUUGGUGUUAGAUUCAGUCCUAAACACUGAUUAUGUGCUCUCCUCCUCACACUUGAACUUGUUAUCCACAGCCCACAGAAAUAUUUUAACUGCUUUGAUUCUUAAAUGUAUUUAUUUGAUGUGUGUAUGUAAAGUGUUUGACAGAUAAAUAUUUUACUAUUUUAUGCUAAAAAUGAGCAUGGAGGACUGGAUUCCUUACCAUGUUUUGUCACACAUUUUCCAGUGAAGUUGAACAUUUAAUCCUCUUAAGUAGGAUUUAAUCCUCUUAAAUCCUACUUCUCAUCUUCAAAACUGAGCAUUUGAAAAUAGCGAGUUAUUGUGAGUCUUUAAUGAAAUUAUCACACAGCAGGUGUGCAAAUGUUCAUUUAUUUGGCUGAUACACAAUGCCUGUGUGUUUUGGCCUUACAGCACUAAGCCUCUGUGAUCUGACCCAUGUUUAUUUCUCUAGCCUUAUCUUGUCCCAGGUUUCUCUUCAAUCACAGCACGGACAAUGUCCUUCCUUCCGGGGUUUUGUUUAUUUUGGGUUUUCUGUGCUUUUAUUUCACUUUGCUCUUUUCCUCUUUAAAUUCCUUUUUCAGUUUUUUUUUUUGGGGGGGGGUCUCAUAUGCCCACUAGACUGUAAACAGCAAGGUGGGGUGCCUAGAGCAGGACUCUUCAUUCUCUAUGAACUCCAAGUUUCCAAAGCUCACUAAAUCUUGAGAACUGGUCAGAAGAGUUGGCCUAGACAAUAGCUUAGUUUUAUGAGGGAAGUAAGGUGACUGCCUCAAAGAUAAAUGUUUUUUGAUUCCCUUUAUUACCUCCUUUAGAGUAGAAAUCAUAUUCUACUACAAACUACAAAGUAUGUUUGCCUCCGUUACUUAAGUCACCUUAAGUUAAGUGGUGACAUCCAAUCCCACACUAAUUUGAAAUGCUAAAGAGGCAGAAUUUUCUUUAGACAGCCAUCACACAAGCCAGAAUAAUUUGCAGACAAAGAAGCUUAGGGCAGGAACUUCGUUAGGUACACUAAUUUCUCCUUCCCAACAUUAUUUACAUUCCUGCAAAUGAUCUUCCUAGAUCACGGUGCAUCUUAUUUAAGAGUAAUAGACAAGAGUCAUAAUUAGAUAAUUCUAGCUCUUCUCCAAGAAAAGAAAAAGCGUCACUGGAUAAAUGCCAGAGUGUUCACUUCUGGAAGAAAAGAUUAGAUUGAGCAUUUCAUAAUUCAUUUCAAAUUUGAAUACUAAUCCCUGGUUGGAUUUGAGAAAAAUCCUGAAGCUUGCUUUAAUAAAUGAGAUGUCACUUUGUGAUUAGAUUCUUAUUUCUAUUUGAUAUGAGGCUCAUGCUGUGGUCCUUGAUCUGGGAAAGAAAAAGAACCAGCCAUGGGGGUGUAAUUCUUUUGAACUGACUGAAGGCAGAAAAAUCUAGCCACGGCAAACCUGUGGUGAAUCAAUGAGACAGAAAAGUUGGAAAUGUAGGUAAGGACUAGAUCAUGUGGUGCUGGUCCCUGAAAGUAGCUUAGAUCUGAUGCUGGGAUGAAAUGUCUCUGGGAUUUUAAGCUGUAGAGUGACUUAUCAUCUCAUGUGUGUUUUGGAUUCAGAAACAUGAUGUAAACAAUAAAUGAUGGCUACCUUGCUUGACUAUAUUGCUUAAUAAUCCCCCAAACUGGUGCUCUGGUGUUUGUUUACAACCAAGGACACUGUACUUUCUGAGUAUUUGAGAAGAAUAAAUAUUUGAUCCUAUGGUUGCAACAUGAUUUACGAGUUGCUUAUAAGGGGAUGAUUUGCAGACCACAAUGAAAACAUUGAAUUAUUUCUUUUUUUCUUUUAUUUUUUUCUUCUCAUGGCCAAACCUGUGGCAUAUCAAAGUUCCCAGGCUAGGGGUCGAAUCAGAGCUGCAGCUGAAGCCUACACCACAGCCAUGGCAACACUAGAUCCAAGCCACAUCUGCAACUGUUGGGCAACGAUGUAUCCUUAGCCCACCGAGUAAGGCCAAGGAUCAAACCAACAUCCUCAGAGAGACAACACUGGGUUCUUAACCUGCUAAGCCACAACAGGAACGCUUGAAUUAUUUCUUAAUGGCAUUAACAUCCAAGGAGUAGUAGGUAUUUUCUCCUACCUCAAAAAUUCAACUAGCCGUUCUCUAAAAAUGUGUGCUUUUCCUUUUCCAGGAGUCCUUGCCUCAGCCCAGUGUGAAUCUAGGUGUAGCCAAAUGGCAAGGACUUCCCAAUAGAUUAUGAGCAGAAGUGAUAUUUAUCACUUCCAGGCCAAGGCCUUUAGGAGCAGAUGAGUUUUCUCCAUUCCCUUUUUCCCCUUCUUCCAUUAGAAGGUCUACUAGAACUAAGGGAUCGAGGGCCCAGAAGAUAGAAUGGAAACAGUUCCUUGAAUCACUGGGUAGAAGAAAGCCCAGCAAACUGAACCUCCCCUCCUCAUUAGGCUUUCCUUUCUUCCCCUCUCCACUAAGUGGAUAGUGUCCUUCCAUGCAAGAUAAGCAGCACCUUCCACAAGCCCACUCCUUCUCCGUCGAGCCUCAGAUUGCUUGUGUGUUCUGUCCUCAUCCCAAAGAACACCUUGCCUCUCUUUCCGGUUCUGGAGAGUUUGAGAUGGUAGGGAUCUCAGAGUUUAGUGAUCAUUUUCUCUGGAUAGUUUUUUCCCAGUCAGUCCUCAUAUUCAUGAAAUGACAUUUAUGUAACAGAGGGACCACAGGCCUUCCCUCUUUUGUGUCAUUAUCCUUUCAGCAAUGAAGACAUAUCUGUCCUUGUCACAGAACAAAUCAUUAAAUCUGACUGCAAGUUGCAGGGAAUUAUAGGGCUGAUAGAUGUCCCAUCAAUGUUUCUGGUAUUUACCCUCGAAAAUUGCUAAGACAGGAGGUGAGGUAAGGAGAGUCACAGAGUUAUCAAAGCUGGAGUGGAUGUUCUCUCAUUUAUUGGAAGAGCUGUUUGUAUCAGGAAAACCAGGGUUGAAUCAGAUAUUUAAUACGGACAUGGAACAAGCAGCUGAGAAUUUAGAAUACAAUGAUGUCGUUUCCUGAAGAAUCCAAGCAUUUGACCACAAGCUGAAGUGAUCAAGGGAAAUGGUCCAGAUCUCACAAAGAUGCCGGCGGUGUAGAUUGGGACAGAGCUGACAUUUAAAAAAGACACUCCACAUUUCCCCAUAUCCUCACUAAAAUGUGUCUAUCAUCAC